GGAUAUUUAGCUCAGCAGGUUAGAGCAUCUGACUGUUAAUCAGAGGGUCGUUGGUUCGAAUCCAUCAAUAUCCG
rnacentral:tRNA from 1 species